rnacentral:rRNA from 1 species
UACAGAGGGUGCGAGCGUUAUUCGGAAUUACUGGGCGUAAAGCGUGCGUAGACGGUUAUAUAAGUCGGAUGUGAAAGCCCCGGGCUCAACCUGGGAAUUGCAUUCGAGACUGCAUAGCUAGGGUGCGGAAGAGGGAAGCGGAAUUUCGGGUGUAGCGGUGAAAUGCGUAGAUAUCCGAAGGAACAUCGGUGGCGAAAGCGGCUUCCUGGUCCAGCACCGACGUUCAGGCACGAAAGCGUGGGGAGCAAACAGG